GACGAACGCUGGCGGCGUGCUUAACACAUGCAGGUCGAACGGAAAGGCCCUGCUUUUGUGGGGUGCUCGAGUGGCGAACGGGUGAGUAACACGUGAGUAACCUGCCCUUGACUUUGGGAUAACUUCAGGAAACUGGGGCUAAUACCGGAUAGGAGCUCCUGCUGCAUGGUGGGGGUUGGAAAGUUUCGGCGGUUGGGGAUGGACUCGCGGCUUAUCAGCUUGUUGGUGGGGUAGUGGCUUACCAAGGCUUUGACGGGUAGCCGGCCUGAGAGGGUGACCGGCCACAUUGGGACUUGGGUACGGCCCAGACUCCUACGGGGGGCAGGGGGGGGGAAUAUUGCAAAAUGGGGGGAAGCCUGGUGCAGAAACCCCGCGGGGGGGAUGCCGGCCUUCGGGUUGUAAACCGCUUUCGCCGUUAACGAAGCGUGAGGGGCGGUAAUGGGUAAAGAAGCACCGGCUAACUACGU
rnacentral:rRNA from 1 species